rnacentral:rRNA from 1 species
GACGAACGCUGGCGGCGUGCUUAACACAUGCAAGUCGAACGGAAAGGCCCUGCUUUUGUGGGGUGCCCGAGUGGCGAACGGGUGAGUAACACGUGAGUAACCUGCCCUAGACUUUGGGAUAACUUAAGGAAACUGGGGCUACGCCCGGAUCGGAGCCCCUGCUGCAUGGUGGGGGUUGGAAAGUUUCGGCGGGUGGGGAUGGACUCGCGGCUUAUCAGCUUGUUGGUGGGGUAGUGGCUUACCAAGGCUUUGACGGGUAGCCGGCCUGUGAGGGUGACCGGCCACAUUGGGACUGAGAUACGGCCCAGACUCCUACGGGAGGCAGCAGUGGGGAAUAUUGCACAAUGGGCGGAAGCCUGAUGCAGCAACGCCGCGUGCGGGAUGACGGCCUUCGGGUUGUAAACCGCUUUCGCCUGUGACGAAGCGUGAGUGACGGUAAUGGGUAAAGAAGCACCGGCUAACUACGUG